rnacentral:rRNA from 1 species
UACGGAGGGUGCAAGCGUUGUCCGGAUUUAUUGGGUUUAAAGGGUGCGUAGGCGGCCCGUUAAGUCAGACGUGAAAUCCCUCGGCUUAACCGGGGAACUGCGUCUGAUACUGGAUGGCUAGAGAUUGGGAGAGGGAUGCGGAAUUCCAGGUGUAGCGGUGAAAUGCGUAGAUAUCUGGAGGAACACCGGUGGCGAAGGCGGCAUCCUGGACCAACACUGACGCUGAGGAGCGAAAGCCAGGGGAGCAAACGGG